ensembl:lncRNA
UUCAGCAAUAAAAAGAAACAAAAUGUUGAUCCAUGCUACAACAUGGAUGAACCUUGAAAACAUUAUGGUAAGUGAAAGGAGUCUGAAUGGGCAAACCUAUUGGGACAGAAAGUAGAUGAGUGGUUGCUGGGAAAUAGGGGCAGGGGAAAUGGAGAGUAACUGGUAACAGAUACAGAGUCUGAGAGCUAUGAAAAUGUUCUGGAACUAGAUAGUUGUAAUGGUUUCUCCUUUACCUGGGGAUAUACUAAAGCCAAGAAUUGUAUACUUCAAAGGGUAAGUUUUCUGUGAAUUAUAUCUAAAUAAAAUUGAUGUACAAAAUAAUGUUGUUUAGUUGUUCAGUUGUGUCAGUGGCUCUUUGUGACCCAGUGGAUUGUAGCCCGCCAGAUUCCUCUGUCCACGGGAUUUCUCAGGCAAUCCCACUAGAGUGGGGAAGCCAUUUCCUCCUUCGGGGAUCUUCUUAACCCAGAGACUGAACCCAUGUCUCCUGCAUUGCGGAUUCACUUCUUUCAAUAUCACCUCCAUGUCUCCUCCACAGGUGGAUUCUUUACCACUGAACCACCUAGGAAGCCUAUACAAAAUACAUCAAUGUAAAAAAUAAAGAGCUGUAUCAAUGAAAGGAAAAUAACUGAGUUCUUUGGAAACAGAAAUCAAGUUUAUUAUGGCAAGUAAUUCUUGAAGGGAAAAAAAAAACAUGGGCGAGGUGACUCUUUGUCCCAUCCGAUUCUUUAGUGUUGCCUCACUUUGUGCUCAUGAAACACUGCAACAUUUAACACGGGACCCAUUGCAUAGUGGCAGAUUACUUCUUUCCUAACACUGAAUAGGCUUUUUUCCUGAACAAAUCUAUCAGGGCUUCACAAACACCAUCCAUCCUACUUUGAAAAACCAACCUUUCUAAACUACAAUACAGAAAAGACAGAUAUCUAAUUUCUCUCUAUUUCACUAUGAAAAUUAAAGGCAAUUUGGUUAUUGAAAGUUACGGUUGAUUCUAAUAUUAGGACAUUCUGAGAAAAAACAAAUCUUGUUCUCCUUUCUCAUCACAGUAGGCCAAGCUGCUAGACAUUCAAAGACAGAAUUCACUUCUUUCAACAUCACCUCCACAUUGUAUGGCAUUCCUAGAACUGGGAAAGGCCUUUCAAAGCAAUCUAAAAGUACAGGUUUCCACCUAUACUACUAAUCCAAAGGAGAUAUUUAUUCAAUUUGUAGCCAGCAACCAAGCCCACAGAUGUUUAAAAGCCUUUUAGCUUUAUUUUGCUGGUAAUUCCCUUCAAACUUCAUAAUCUAGGAAUUAGAGACCCUUUCAAUCCCUGGUCUUCCCUCACCUCUGGAAUGACUCUUCCUCCAGCUAUCUUAAAUUCAGUACCCAUGUUCUUGCCCUUUCACUAAAAGCUGGAAAAGGCCUAGGAAAGAACCAUUUGUUUUAAGAAGUUGUGCAGAACCUUGAAUAUUUAUCAAAUCUUGCUGGAAAAGGAGAAUUCACAUUUACUGAAACUCUAUAUUCAGAGUGCUUUAAAUAUAAUCCCUGGAACAAUUCAGAGAGAUUUGCAUUUUAUCUUCAUUUU